CUACGGGUGGCACCAGUGGGGAAUAUUGCACAAUGGGCGCAAGCCUGAUGCAGCCAUGCCGCGUGUAUGAAGAAGGCCUUCGGGUUGUAAAGUACUUUCAGCGGGGAGGAAGGGAGUAAAGUUAAUACCUUUGCUCAUUGACGUUACCCGCAGAAGAAGCACCGGCUAACUCCGUGCCAGCAGCCGCGGUAAUACGGAGGGUGCAAGCGUUAAUCGGAAUUACUGGGCGUAAAGCGCACGCAGGCGGUUUGUUAAGUCAGAUGUGAAAUCCCCGGGCUCAACCUGGGAACUGCAUCUGAUACUGGCAAGCUCGAGUCUCGUAGAGGGGGGUAGAAUUCCAGGUGUAGCGGUGAAAUGCGUAGAGAUCUGGAGGAAUACCGGUGGCGAAGGCGGCCCCCUGGACGAAGACUGACGCUCAGGUGCGAAAGCGUGGGGAGCAAACAGGAUUAGAUACGCCGGUAGUC
rnacentral:rRNA from 1 species